rnacentral:lncRNA from 1 species
GUGGUUGGUGUGGUGGGGGUGGUGGAAAUCCAGGUUGCUGAAAGUAAGAUGGUGGGGGUGGACCAUCAAAGCCAGGUUGGUGGAAGUAUGAUGAUGGAGGUGGCGGAGGAUAGGGUCCAACAAAGCCAGGUGGCUGCUGGUAGCUUGGUGGUGGAGGGUACGGCGGAGUAAAUUCAUGGUGGUGAAGGUGUGGGUGUGGGUGUGGGGGUGGGGGUCUUUCUUGGUUUUCUUCAUCAUCAUUUCUGUGGUGAUGAGUGUGAGAGCGGUUGUGACCGAAUGGGAACUCCAUUUGUUCGAUUCUGAUCU